rnacentral:tRNA from 1 species
AGUAGCUCAGUCGGAUAGAGCAACGGUCUUCUAAACCGUCGGUCGGGAGUUCGAAUCUCUCCUG